ensembl:lncRNA CCDC26 CCDC26 long non-coding RNA
AUGCCGAAGCUGAGGUCGGAAAUUACGAAGAUCAGCUAUCAAACUUGGAAAUCAUGUCUUAGAGAUCAAGGAGCCAAGAGAUGAGACAAGCCUGGGUUCCUAGGUGAUAGGGUGUGGCUGUGUCCCCACCCAAAUCUCGUCUUGAAUUGUAGCUCCCAUAAUCCCCACAUGUUGUGGAGGGACCCUGUGGAAGGAAGGCCUGAGGAGAGAAGACACAUAGUCAUGCUGACUAAACCAGAUCACCUAGAAUUACCAAAUGGAAAGGUCCAUUCGAGGUUCCUGGAGAAUGGCACCACUUUCUCGGGGAAGAUAUUUUUGCCUAAUUGGAUAUAUUCAUUUGGAAGUAAGAGGACCUAGAAGAAAUGAGAAAUAAAGAAUAUCAGGUUCUAAAAAUAUUUAUUAUCAUCUACUUGUUUCCAAAGUUAUUUGGGUCAGCAUUUUCCUCCACCCACCACUUAAAACUGAUUUGUUUCAUACAUUUGAAAUGUAUGAAAAGCCAGAAAUCCAGGACCCACCCUGGCCUGCUCCCUUUUUCUCACCUACUGUGUUAAGGAUAAGUCAAUUGAGCUUCACUUCUCUAAUUGAAAUCACCGUGCUGAUGGAGUCUGUCUGUGGAAAUGAAAGGUGGCUACCAUAAUCUGUUGGGAGUUGAAUUAAUCCUCUGGGAGUGAGGCUGACCUAAUUACUCAGAAAUACUGGGCUUGCUUUCAUUCUGUGGAAUACAGCCAUGAGAAAGAGGCCAGCAUGCCAUUUCCUAAUCUUUUCUUGAAUUGCCUGAAACUCACCUAACAUGAAACUGAGAAGCCUUUUCAUUUGAAAGUGGUAUUUCUUAUGUUUUUUAUCUUUUUGCUUGAAAGUAUUCUUAAACUAAAGAAAGGAGAAACAGAAAAGGUGAAGAAGCCAAGAGGCUGGAGUUUCCUUUUGAAUGGAUAUUCAUCCAUGAAGCUGUUGAUUCUGUUUUUCUGUUCCUCCAGAUGUCUACACUUUUACCUCUGCUUGCCUGAUACAACCACCACCAGUCACCUCACAGAAUAACUCACUCCUUAAGAAUCUGAUCAGGAAUCAGCCUUCCCUGAUCACAAACACUGAGUUUAGAAGUCCCUCCACAGUGUCCCCCGUAACCCUGUGCUACCUCACUGCCUCAUAGUUUAGUGCCGUUUGUGUACAUGCCUAUCUUCGUCCAUGGAUCCAGAACAACUUGUAAAAAUGACUGUACUUAUCACCUUCAGUAUUCAAUGACUAAACUAUAAUUUUAACAUAUCUGGCAGAAUGAAUCACUUGGGGAUUUCUGCCAACACUACCAAUAUAUUACUCCUAAUUUGUAAUUAUUACUUAGCAUGGAUUAUAGUACCGGCUGUUGGAGAGCCAAUGUGGCAGACCCUAAGUGGAAUAAAAUGUCAGUAGCAGUCUAGGAGCAUAUAUUUAUUGGAAUAGAUCAUUCAUUCAUUUGUUCAUUAACUAAUUUGUUCAUUAAAUAAACAUUUAUUAAGCA